rnacentral:rRNA from 1 species
UGGGGAAUAUUGGACAAUGGGCGAAAGCCUGAUCCAGCCAUGCCGCGUGUGUGAAGAAGGUCUUCGGAUUGUAAAGCACUUUAAGUUGGGAGGAAGGGCAUUAACCUAAUACGUUAGUGUUUUGACGUUACCGACAGAAUAAGCACCGGCUAACUUCGUGCCAGCAGCCGCGGUAAUACGAAGGGUGCAAGCGUUAAUCGGAAUUACUGGGCGUAAAGCGCGCGUAGGUGGUUCGUUAAGUUGGAUGUGAAAGCCCCGGGCUCAACCUGGGAACUGCAUCCAAAACUGGCGAGCUAGAGUACGGUAGAGGGUGGUGGAAUUUCCUGUGUAGCGGUGAAAUGCGUAGAUAUAGGAAGGAACACCAGUGGCGAAGGCGACCACCUGGACUGAUACUGACACUGAGGUGCGAAAGCGUGGGGAGCAAACAGGAUUAGAUACCCCCGUAGUCCCUGAGCGGGCUGGCAAGGCGCAU